rnacentral:snoRNA from 1 species
AGUCCAUGGUGCGGGCAAUAUCGAAGUAAGUCCUUGUACCUCUCCUAGGCAUCAUACAUGCUCUCGUCCUCGAACUGCACAAAAGAAGAUAUGUCAUUUCUCAAUCU